CUUCUCUGUCUCUGUGGAAAAGCCAUCUCAGGUUGGCGGCAGACACAUUGUCAUCAGAGGGGAGCAGCGGCUCUGGUCCUCGGAGCUGGUUCCUCUCUCCCACCCUAAGGGCAGCCCUCCAUGGUCCUGUCUGUCCUUCUGAAGUGUGUCCAUCCUGACCUGCGGGUCCUCAGCUGCUCCCACACUUGUGCCAGCCCGGAGGGGACUGGUCCCGGUCACCGCGGACGUGCUGGCCUUGAACGAAUGACUCGGGUUGAUGUUGCCGGAUCUCAGGGGUGGCUGUGACUGACAGAGGACCUUGUUGCACCUCGUGGCUGCUUUGUUCACCCGCAGGGCGGCCUGUGGGCACCCCGGGGUUCCCCUUCAGUCCCAAGGAGGGUAAGGAUAUGGGUUUCCUAGGAGACAGCCAAUGACUGCCCUGCAUCUGGAGCCAGCCUGUCCAUGGGCAGUGCACAGAUGACAGCCCUCCCUCACUGCCCUGUGUGCUGGCUACCGCAUGUCCUGUGCCAGCCUCAGCCUCUUUGAUGUGGCCGUGUUCCAUCCUGGCGCUCAGCUGGACAAGUGCUGGCUGAGCCACGUCCCAGCCAGGGGCAUGAGAUGGGGGCCCUGGAUGGGAGGCUGCCAGACCCCAACUCAUGGGUCCCUUGAAUCUCCCAGCUUGGACUCGGCCAGGGUGGAGCUGUCUGCUUUGGAUGUAUCAUCUCAUGGCUCAUUUGGGAGGCCAGCCCCAGGCUGCUGUGCUUGGUGUUGGAGGACAGGCCGGAGCUGGGGGUCACAGUGCGCCUCUGAGCUUGGGAACCUGCUUCAGCCUGGGGUUGCUGUGGAGAAUGGCCCAGAGCUGAGCAGAAGGGGCUCCCCCUAGCCCCAGGGACCUGAGCCUCCCUCCCAUCUACCGCAGGGCGAGCACACACCCUGGAGGAGCCCAGAUGGCCUUGUGCUGAGUGUGGCCUCAGCUCCCAUUGCCUCACGGGGCCUGUCUGCUAACAGGUCUGGGUUUUGUGCACAGAACGGUGCUGCUAGGUGGGAGAUGAAGUCAGCACCUGCUGGGGCGAGCACGGCUUCCCAAAGCAGGAAAUCCUGGAGAAAUCGAGCCGUGGUCUGAUCAGGCCAAGAGGUUGCACAGGGCAUGAUACUGCACCCUGCCUGACCCAGCUGGGCUCACAGGUCAGGGGAGAGUUGGGGCAGGUGAAUGUCAGCAUCAGGCUUCUGUUUUAAACUUUUAAAAAAAUACACUCUUUGGCUUCCUUUUAUUUCUUGAGGAUUACAUGAAACGUGAACUAUACAGGAAAGUAUGGCAGCCAGGUCCUGGGGCCAGGGGCUGGCCGGCCGCUCCCUGCCCACGGUGGGGGCUUCCUCCGAGCCGCCGGUCCUCUCCGGCCAUCCGCAUCCAGGCGGUGGCUACUUGGAGGCAGUCAUGAAGCUGUUCUCAAUGCAG
rnacentral:lncRNA from 1 species